ACUGGAUGGAAAGGAGAAAAAAGAACCUGAGGGGGAAAUGAGUGAGGGAACCAUGAGGCAUGAUAUAGUCAGAUGUGGUACAUCUGGAAAAAAGGGAGCUGGGAGGAGUCAGGCCAAGAGGAGAAGAGUGGGGAGCUGAGAGAGAGAGUGAGAGAGAGACUGAAGACAGAACAAGAAGAGGCGCUGACAACUCAGCCCACACACAGGGGGCUAGGAGCAAGGAGUGGGGGACACGCAGGUGCAGAUAGAAGGGGCCAGAGAGCUGUGGGAGGAGACAUCAUACAGCAGUCCUCUCAAGUAACCUUAUGUAUACAGAAGGACUGGAGGGAAAAAGCACUUGAGAACACACACACACACACAUACACACACACACACACACACACACACACACACACAUUGAAUGGAGGAUGAAAGCCUGGCUCCCAGGGAACUAAAGGAAGAGGCCCUGCAGAAGGCCAGAGAGACUCCUGCAUACCCAAUUACCCUCCAGCCCCCACUCCUUAAACAGUGGAAAGGGACCCUGGGCUACAGCAGAGCAGAGAAGAAAACAGUACAGUGAAAGGAUCAUACGGACAGACAGACAGACAGUCCUACUGAGAGAAGGGAGACCUAGUAUGCAGCAGUGUCCCCUGAUGCCCACUCAAGGAGUCCAGACCCAUCCAGCUAACACUAAGACACAGGAAAGGGGCAGAGAGGGAGGAGAGCUGGCCCGGGACCCAUCCCUCUUCUCCAAGCUUCUCUCCCAACAGCUUUCUCCACAGGUGCUGAAGGAAAGCCCCUCCUGUUACGGGUGCUUAAACUAAGUGGCCUGUGGCACCGUGAUGCCUCCAGCACACAGAAUGGCAGAGGCUGUCCUGAAAGCUCUUCCCUGGAACACCUCAGAGGAAAGAUGCUAACAACAUGGGUGUGAGAGAAUUAAGGGGUCCAGAGCAUCGGAAACCACCCACAGGCUUGGGGAGGGGGCUUGCAGCCUGACGGCAGCCCAGGGCAGGUCAGGCUAGACCCUGCGGCCAAGGAAGGUGUCAGGCGCAAAGGUCCUGAGGGCAAGGUGUACAGCUGGCCUUCUGGAUGCUGGUGGCCAGCCCAUCCCUGCCGGUGACAAAGGAGGGUGAAGUAUGGAAAGUGUGCCACCACCAGGCCAAGAUCUGAACUGCACCUACCCCAAAGCUUCAAGAAACAGAAUGGGCUGAAGGCAUAGAGGCAGAAUUCAAUGCAAUUUGGGGACGGAGCAGAAUCAGACAGGAGGGAGUCGAUACUUAUGGAGCCACAUUCGAAAACUGUGAGCUGAAUGAAUAAAGACAAAGAGGCACCAGGAAGAGAAGCUCUGAAGGGAACGGUGCUAAAACAAGCUUGGCAUGGUGGAGCAUCCCUGUAAUCCCUCAAUGCUUCUAGCAUCUGAAGACAGAAAUCACUGCAAGUUCAAGGCCAGCCUGGUGUACAGAGCAAGUUCCAAACCAGAUGGGUUGCUAGUGAGACCCUGUCUCAAAAACCAAAACAAAACACACUGGAUCACUACACACAGAAACAAG